rnacentral:lncRNA from 1 species
GAAUAAUUGCAGGCAGAUCACUAAUCAUAUAUAGAAAAAAAGAGCAGAACUCACACAUUUGAAGAAGGUGCUCUCUGGAAGUACAGCAUUCCUGCUCAAGAAGCAGCGUAGGCCCAAAAAAUCCAUUCCCUUCGGCAGCUGAGCCUUAUGUGAACCCAGGGCAGCCCCACUCAGGGCAGCUCCUUCCGGUCACACAGUGAGCACAGGUGCAAACAAUGUACCUGCACUGCAGUUCCCGCCCAGACCUAGCAGCUCCCCUACAUGUGAACUGAGCUUUCACACAGGAGCUGAAGAAAGGUGACUGUGUUUUCAGCUGUGAUGAAGGCUCAGAUGGUGUGUAUGAGUAUCCUUGACGUCUGUCUGGCUGUCAUCUCCAGGAUAAGUCAAAAUAUACAGCUACGCUGCAUGUUGGCGUAUGGAAUGUUUCACUACUCACACAGCAGAAGGGACAGGGAGCUCAUCUGAAAAGGAUUUGAAAUAAUAGAGAUCUUCUGAAAAGCUUCUUUGUUGCUACACCAAGACUACAGACAGAAAAACAAGCCCUGCCUUACUUGGGAGUCAGUGGCAAAGCAUCAGAUGUCUGAGUCUAUCCUAAACAAAGGUCCAGGCUGGAUUUUUUUGCCUUACCCCAGUUGUGAGCAGGCAAACAUCUUCCAGAAGAUAAAUUUAAGAGGUCCAUGUGCACUUACAGAUACACCAUGGGAACAACAACAAAAAAACACCAACAAUAAACAACAACAGCAAUGUUCUUUCA